UACGUAGGGGGCGAGCGUUGUCCGGAUUUAUUGGGCGUAAAGAGCGUGUAGGCGGCCAGGUAGGUCUGCUGUGAAAACUCGAGGCUCAACCUCGAGACGUCGGCGGAAACCAUCUGGCUAGAGUCCGGAAGAGGAGAGUGGAAUUCCUGGUGUAGCGGUGAAAUGCGCAGAUAUCAGGAAGAACACCCGUGGCGAAGGCGGCUCUCUGGGACGGUACUGGACGCUGAGACGCGAAAGCGUGGGAGCGAACAGGA
rnacentral:rRNA from 1 species